AGGAUAAACGCUGGCGGCGUGCCUAACACAUGCAAGUCGAACGUCUCUUCUUUCGGGAAGAGGAGUGGCGGACGGGUGAGGAACACGUGGGAACCUGCCCUUUAGUGAGGAAUACCGGCGAGAAAUCGCCGACAAGACCGCAUAGCCCUCUUUGAUGAGAGUCAAAGAAGGAAAGCUUCGCAAGAGGCGCUAGAGGAGGGGCCUGCGUCCGAUUAGCUAGUUGGUGGGGUAAGAACCUACCAAGGCGUCGAUCGGUAGCUGGUCUGAGAGGACGAUCAGCCACACUGGGAUUGAGAACGGCCCAGACUCCUACGGGGGGCAGCAGUGAGGAAUUUUCGGCAAUGGGGGAAACCCUGACCGAGCAACGCCGCGUGCAGGAAGACGGCCUUCGGGUUGUAAACUGCUUUUCUUUGGGACGAGGAAGGACGGUACCAGAGGAAUCAGCCCGGCUCACUACGUGCCAGCAGCCGC
rnacentral:rRNA from 1 species